ensembl:snRNA U4 U4 spliceosomal RNA
AGCUUUGCGCAGUGGCAGUAUCGUAGCCAAUGAGGUUUAUCCGAGGCGCGAUUAUUGCUAAUAGAAGAAGCUCACAGAGCCAGCUCCACAGAAGCCCCUCGGGGUGGGGGAGGAACCAAGCCAUCAGG